CGCUCAUCACUCUCUCACUCUCACUCUCACUCUCUCUCUCUCUCUCUCUCUCACUCACUCCGGCGCGGCGCACGUUUCUCUCUCCGGCGCACUCAACUCUCUCCGGUAGCUAUCUCUUCGGCGUACCUCUCUCCGAUAGCAUCUUUGGAUCUCGUGCAUCUUCUGGCAGGAACCUUCUUCAAGCUAGAAAAGGAUGGCAUGAGUGGAAGAUGUGCAAGGAGUUGUGGCGCUAAAGGACUCAAAUUACAAUGGUGUAUGUAGAAUGGCAGGAGAGAAAGAUAGGCAAGAAAUUAUUGCACUAAAGGACUCAAUUGAUUGUAAGUUAUUUCAAACCUAUUGUCACUCGUUGGUGGAAGUACUGUGAAAUGUAGUGAGCGGGAGGCUUGCAUGGAGUUAUAAGGAUGAGAAGAAUGUGAAUUGGAGUGUUUGGUUUUUGAUUAUAUUUGUUUGUUGGUUUGCGUUUGUAACCUCAUUAA